rnacentral:rRNA from 1 species
UACGUAGGUGGCAAGCGUUGUCCGGAUUUAUUGGGCGUAAAGGGAGCGCAGGCGGUGACUUAAGUCUGAUGUGAAAGCCCACGGCUCAACCGUGGAAGGUCAUUGGAAACUGGGUCACUUGAAUAUAGAAGAGGAAAGUGGAAUUCCAUGUGUAGCGGUGAAAUGCGUAGAUAUAUGGAGGAACACCAGUGGCGAAGGCGACUUUCUGGUCUAUUAUUGACGCUGAGGCUCGAAAGCAUGGGUAGCAAACAGGAUUAGAUACCCCCGUA